UGGGGAAUAUUGCACAAUGGGCGAAAGCCUGAUGCAGCGACGCCGCGUGAGGGAUGACGGCCUUCGGGUUGUAAACCUCUUUCAGCUCCGACGAAGGGUGACUGACGGUAGGAGCAGAAGAAGCGCCGGCCAACUACGUGCCAGCAGCCGCGGUAAGACGUAGGGCGCAAGCGUUGUCCGGAUUUAUUGGGCGUAAAGAGCUCGUAGGCGGCUUGUCGCGUCGACUGUGAAAACCCGCGGCUCAACCGUGUGGUCUGCAGUCGAUACGGGCAGGCUAGAGUUCGGUAGGGGAGACUGGAAUUCCUGGUGUAGCGGUGAAAUGCGCAGAUAUCAGGAGGAACACCGGUGGCGAAGGCGGGUCUCUGGGCCGAUACUGACGCUGAGGAGCGAAAGCGUGGGGAGCGAACAGG
rnacentral:rRNA from 1 species